UAGUCAAUACCAAGGCUUUUAGAAUGCAGUUUCUUAUUUGCUGUGGACAUGACCAUAAAAAAAUUUCCCACUAGGUUUUCUAUUUACUACCUUGCUAGUAAUCAGCCUCUUGGGAACAUUU